UCUCAUCAAGUCAAAAUUAUAAUGUAGAAUUGUAUUGGCGCAAUUGAUGGUACACACAUACGAGCUAGUGUCCCCAAGUCUCGUGAGGCAGCUUUUCGAGGUAGAAAGAGUUUCACAACCCAAAAUGUGAUGGCCGCGGUAGACUUUGACCUUCGCUUCACAUAUGUGCUAGCUGGUUGGGAGGGUUCGGCACAUGAUGCCGUCGUUCUAGCUGAUGCCUUACAAAGGCAGAAUGGUCUCGUUGUACCUGAAGGAAAAUAUUACCUAGUUGACUGCGGUUAUGGUGCAAAGCCAGGGUUCUUACCACCUUUUCGUGGUGUCCGAUACCACUUAAAAGAGUGGGGUAAUGAUAACAGGCCAGAAAAUGAGAAGGAAUUAUUUAAUUUAAGGCAUUCACAACUACGGGUUACUGUUGAGCGUGCCUUUGGAUCCCUGAAGAACCGUUUUAAGUUUCUUGAUGAUGCUCGACCUUUCUUUCCUUUCAAAACACAAGUAGAUGUUGUUCUUGCAUGUUGCAUCCUCCACAAUUGGAUAUUAUCGCACGGGGCAGAUUGUUUUCUCCCACCUGAGGAAGCAUGGACAACAAACCAACCUUCUAGUUCAACAAGUUCCCAUCAGGAGCAAGUACAAGAAAACAGACAAUGGGUUCAGUGGAGGCAGCAACUUGCAAAUUGGAUGUGGGAAACUAGAGCAGCUUCCCAUGUACAAGAAAAUUAGAUCAUAAAUUGCAAAGUGGCAUCAUUCUUUGGAUGAAGAUGGAUGAUGUCCAAGAAAUUGAACAAAGGUCCCAGUCACAAAUUUUCUGGACACAAGAAAUGUCUGCAUGUGCUUUGAAAUAUUUGGCCCAGUUGGUUGCUUAUGGAAUUCGAGUAGACAAAGGAUUCAAAAGCUCGCACUAUAAUCAAUGUGCUAAAGUGGUGAAGGAAAGAUUUCAGGUUCAAGUUUCUGGUUCUCAAGUUACUAAUCAUCUUAAGACAUGGAGAACUCGCUGGUCAAACAUAUGCAAUUAUAAGAAGAUUAGCUCAGCCCAUUUUGAUGAGCAAACUGGAACAAUAUUGCUUGAUGAGAAGAACUACUUGGAACGGGUGCAGGUGUGUAU